UGCCAAGCUGCGCCACCGGUGGAUAGCUGCAGUGAAUAGGAAGAACUACCAACCCAGUGAAAAUGCACGAUGUGCAGGUGGUGAAGGGCAGGCGUCUGCUAACCAGGCAGUCAAACGACCUCGCCAGUUGGUUGCCAAGCGCGGCCAACCCAGUAGAGACCAUUACAAACAAGACCAAACUGAAAGUGCA